rnacentral:rRNA from 1 species
CACCGCCCGUCACACCAUGGGAAUUGGGUCUAUCCGAAGGCGGUGCGCCAACCUCGCAAGAGGGGGCAGCCGACCACGGUAGGCUCAGUGACUGGGGUG